CAGUAGCCGCGGUAAAACGUAGGGUGCGAGCGUUAAUCGGAAUUACUGGGCGUAAAGCGUGCGCAGGCGGUUGUGUAAGUCAGAUGUGAAAUCCCCGAGCUUAACUUGGGAACUGCAUUUGAAACUGGCAAGCUAGAGUCUUGUAGAGGGGGGUAGAAUUCCAGGUGUAGCGGUGAAAUGCGUAGAGAUCUGGAGGAAUACCGGUGGCGAAGGCGGCCCCCUGGACAAAGACUGACGCUCAGGUGCGAAAGCGUGGGGAGCAAACAGGAUUAGAUACCCCUGUAGUCCCUGUCUCUUAUAC
rnacentral:rRNA from 1 species